ACUUAACAAAAACACAUGCUAACCAACAACAGAGUUAUAAACCCACAUGAAAAUUGCAGCCCUGCUCAUAAAGAAAUAAUAAAUUACUCAACCAUGAUUAUAACUGCAUUUCUUUCUCCUAUGAAAAUUUGUACUAAAACGUUACUUCAUACUUCAUAAACAAUCACACUACACAGAAUCGUAAACCAAGAUGUUGUUUCCAUGUUUUCUUCUAUUUCCAACGGAAUAAAAACAUAACCAAAUAUUCCACCCAUACAACCAAAAUGGAAAACAGAGCACACAACACACAUAUCAUUCAUUAUUUUUAUUUGCCAAACAAAAUACCCCAAAUGCAGCAUUCCAAUCCCACUAAAUUCGAGGAUUCCAGUUUCUCCUCUUUAAGAACCCCAACAAAGGGUACAUCAAAUAGUUUAUUAGGAAAAUCUUUGUUAACUAGCCUUGGUAGAGUUUCAUUCUACAUGAUUCAUCUGUGAACCAUCAUCGCCCCUACCAUGGUCAUGAGCAACUAAUACAGUUCCAUUACUCACAUGCAGCCUUAGUAUUCUCUGGAUUAUAUGUUCCCUUUAGAGAAGUUUUCUUUGAAUCAUUAGAAUCUAAUCCUAAAACCCUUUCAUCGAUUGUUAUUUGACUUGGGAAGCUAAUCACAAAUAACAGGAACUGACACAAUGGUUGAAAUCUCUAGAACCAUACUGCUAAUUAUAAAAUAAGGGGAAAUGUUCACUAAAUAAGACUUGGAACCAACACUGCAUAAACACCACAACAAUAACACCAAAACCCUAACUACAAAACGCAACGAUAACCUUGCUGCAUCCUGGCGUCGUCUAGCUCGCCGGAGAUGCUGAUGAAUCCCCGGGCCACAACUGGGCCGAGCGAAGGUGGGGUCUGCAGAAGCGGAUUUCGCUCGCGUCCAAGAGCCCCCAGCAAAAUCGAGGAAGUUCCCCUUAAUGCUAAACCCUAACUACCAUAAGCAGAUGGGGCUGACGAACCCAGUCGUGAGAACGUGGUCGGGGCCAUUAUAAGUUUU
rnacentral:lncRNA from 1 species